UUACCGGUGUUAAACUCAAACAGCAGUGCACAACAUUAAUAACUAUGAUUGGGAAUGUCGUGUAUAUAACAUUGUAAUGAGAACAUUAUUAUAAU